CCGACAUAAUGCAACUAGCACAAUCUAAUAAUCACCACCACAAAGCCUGAUCCAGCAAUGCCGCGUGAGUGAAGAAGGCCUUCGGGUUGUAAAGCUCUUUUGUCAGGGAAGAAACGGUUCGGGCUAAUAUCCUGGGCUAAUGACGGUACCUGAAGAAUAAGCACCGGCUAACUACGUGCCAGCAGCCGCGGUAAUACGUAGGGUGCAAGCGUUAAUCGGAAUUACUGGGCGUAAAGCGUGCGCAGGCGGUUGUGCAAGACAGAUGUGAAAUCCCCGGGCUCAACCUGGGAAUUGCAUUUGUGACUGCACGGCUAGAGUGUGUCAGAGGGGGGUAGAAUUCCACGUGUAGCAGUGAAAUGCGUAGAGAUGUGGAGGAAUACCGAUGGCGAAGGCAGCCCCCUGGGAUAACACUGACGCUCAUGCACGAAAGCGUGGGGAGCAAACAGGAUUAGAUACCCUGGUAGUCCACGCCCUAAACGAUGUCUACUAGUUGUCGGGUCUUAAUUGACUUGGUAACGCAGCUAACGCGUGAAGUAGACCGCCUGGGGAGUACGGUCGCAAGAUUAAAACUCAAAGGAAUUGACGGGGACCCGCACAAGCGGUGGAUGAUGUGGAUUAAUUCGAUGCAACGCGAAAAACCUUACCUACCCUUGACAUGUCCGGAAUCCUUGAGAGAUCAGGGAGUGCUCGAAAGAGAAUCGGAACACAGGUGCUGCAUGGCUGUCGUCAGCUCGUGUCGUGAGAUGUUGGGUUAAGUCCCGCAACGAGCGCAACCCUUGUCAUUAGUUGCUACGAAAGGGCACUCUAAUGAGACUGCCGGUGACAAACCGGAGGAAGGUGGGGAUGACGUCAAGUCCUCAUGGCCCUUAUGGGUAGGGCUUCACACGUCAUACAAUGGUACAUACAGAGGGCCGCCAACCCGCGAGGGGGAGCUAAUCCCAGGAAGUGUAUCGUAGUCCGGAUUGUAGUCUGCAACUCGACUACAUGAAGUUGGAAUCGCUAGUAAUCGCGGAUCAGCAUGUCGCGGUGAAUACGUUCCCGGGUCUUGUACACACCGCCCGUCACACCAUGGGAGCGGGUUUCGCCAGAAGUGGGUAGCCUAACCGCAAGGAGGUCGCUCACCACGGUGGGAUUCGUGACUGGGGUGAAGUCGAAACAAGGUAGCCGUAUCGGAAGGUGCGGCUG
rnacentral:rRNA from 1 species